rnacentral:rRNA from 1 species
AGUGAACGCUGGCGGUAGGCCUAACACAUGCAAGUCGAACGGCAGCACAGAGGAGCUUGCUCCUUGGGUGGCGAGUGGCGGACGGGUGAGGAAUACAUCGGAAUCUACUCUGUCGUGGGGGAUAACGUAGGGAAACUUACGCUAAUACCGCAUACGACCUACGGGUGAAAGCAGGGGAUCUUCGGACCUUGCGCGAUUGAAUGAGCCGAUGUCGGAUUAGCUAGUUGGCGGGGUAAAGGCCCACCAAGGCGACGAUCCGUAGCUGGUCUGAGAGGAUGAUCAGCCACACUGGAACUGAGACACGGUCCAGACUCCUACGGGAGGCAGCAGUGGGGAAUAUUGGACAAUGGGCGCAAGCCUGAUCCAGCCAUACCGCGUGGGUGAAGAAGGCCUUCGGGUUGUAAAGCCCUUUUGUUGGGAAAGAAAUCCAGCCGGCUAAUACCUGGUUGGGAUGACGGUACCCAAAGAAUAAGCACCGGCUAACUUCGUGC